rnacentral:misc_RNA from 1 species
GCACAUGUGCGAGUGGUCGCAGCCAUAUUGGUAGUGCGGGAACCACGUCAGGAUAAGAAUUUAUCCAUUUUACCUAGGUUCUUACCGUUUAACCAGAUUGAAACAUAUGCAUAAUUAAACAUCACCAUGCCGACCUACUUUCAGCGUCCAGAAAAUGCCCUGAAGAGGGCGAAUGAGUUUAUUGAUGUUGGGAAAAAGCAGCGAGCUCUUGAUGCAUUGUAUGACGUGAUCAAGAGCAAAAAACAUCGAACAUGGCAGAAGAUUCACGAACCAAUAAUGGAAAAAUAUCUGCAGCUCUGUGUGGAGCUGCGGAAAAGUCACAUUGCAAAAGAGGGCUUGUACCAGUACAAAAACAUCUGUCAGCAGGUAAACAUAAAGUCCUUGGAGGAUGUGGUCAGGAAGUACAUCAGUCUCGCCGAGUCCAAGACUGAAGCCGCUCGAGCCGAGUCCCAUCAGGCUGUUGUGGAUAUCGAUGAUCUGGACAACCCAGAUACACCAGAAAGCCUCCUGUUGAAGGCAGUGAGUGGAGAGGACACUCAGGACAGGACUGACCGAGCCAUUCUGACCCCGUGGGUCAAGUUCCUGUGGGAAUCCUACAGACAGUGCCUGGAUCUGCUGCGAAAUAAUUCCCGUGUCGAGCGACUCUACCAAGACAUUGCACAGCAAGCUUUCAAAUUCUGCUUGAAGUACAACAGAAAAACAGAAUUCAGGAAACUAUGCGACAAUCUGAGAACUCAUCUUGGCCACAUUCACAAGCAUCAGCAUCAGACGACAGCCAUCAACCUCAACAACCCAGAAUCCCAGGGCAUGCACCUGGAGACCAGGCUGGAACAACUAGACAGUGCCAUCAAGAUGGAGCUCUGGCAGGAAGCAUUCAAAGCGGUAGAGGACAUUCACGGCCUGAUUCAGCUGUCUAAGAAGUCCCCCAAACCCUCCCUGAUGGCCAACUACUAUCAGAAACUGGGGCUUGUCUUCUGGAAGUCUGGCAAUGGCCUCUUCCAUGCAAGCACUCUGCACAGAUUGUACAUUCUGUCUCGUGAACAGCGCAAAAAUCUGUCGGCUGACGAGUUACAGAAGAUGGCAUCGCGAGUUCUAUGUGCCACUCUUGCUGUUCCCAUACCAGCGUCAAGGAACACAAUCGAUCAGCUGUUGGAGACAGAUGAAGCAACCAUGGAGAAGAAAAGACGAUUGGCUACUCUCCUGAUGCUGAACAAUGCCCCCACUCGUCAGUCCCUCAUCAAAGACUUUGUCAAGUUUAACAUCAUUCAGUAUGUUCACCCUGAGAUACAGAACCUGUUCAAGUACCUUGAGGAAGAGUUCCACCCCCUGGGGCUGUAUGACCGGGUUAAAGCAUCCAUUGAGUUCAUCAGUAACAACGAGGAACUCGGUCAGUACAUCCCAGCCCUGGAGGAGAUCAUCAUCACUCGAGUCCUCAAACAGGUGUCUCAAGUCUACCAGACAAUUGCCUUUUCCAGACUGGCUGACCUAAUUCCGUUUGCCUCCAAAUUCCGUUUAGAAAGAGUCAUUGUAGAUGCAGCUAAAACUCUAGAACUACAGGUGAGAAUUGACCACAGAAGCAAGUCUCUGAGCUUUGGCACAGAUCUGAUGGUUGCACAGAAGGAGGACGUACCGGAGGGUCCUUACAUACAGAGCAUGCCCAGCGAGGGCAUACGCAACCAGCUGAUUUCAAUGGCUAGAGCCCUUCACCAGGCCAUUGAACGCAUAGAGCCAAAGGACCGAAAGGUCCAGCGACAUGAGAUGCAGGUACAGAUUGCAAACAGCUACAGAAUGACUGCCAAGAAAGAACAUCAGAGGAUAUUACAGAGGCGACAGAUCAUUGAGGACAGGAAGGAGCAGCUGGAGCACCUCAAUGACCAGAGGGAGCGGGAGGAACAGGAGCAGAUUGAGGAGCAGAAGAAGAAGGCGUACGACUUGGAGAUGGCUCGGCUGGAGAGGGAAGCGAAGGAGAGGGAGCGCCUGAGGAAGAUUGAGGAGCACAAGGAGAUCAAGAAGAAACAUGCCAUGGAGAGGAUCGAACAACUUAAGAAGACGGACAUCGGAGCCAAAGUGUUGCAGAAUCUGGACGAGGAGGCCUUUGAAACACUGGAUGUAGAGGAUAUCAUGGCCAAACAAGUGGAACAGCUCGAAAAAGAAAAGAAAGAAUUGAUGGACCGUCUCAAAAACCAGGAGAAAAAGAUCGAUCAUUUUGCCCGUGCAAAGCGUUUGGAAGAAAUUCCCUAUUUGGCAAAACAGUAUGAACAGGAGAAGAAAGUGGCUAGAGAUUUCUUUGAGCAGCAAGAGGCUGAAAAGGUCGAGCAGUUAAAGAGUGACCGUCAGAUGGCGCUGGCAAGUCGGGAUCGCCUCAACAGGAUGAAGACUGACAAGGAUGAGUUCCUGAAUCUAUUGAGAGGGCAAAGGAAGGAAAUGUUUAAGAAAAAGCUGGCCGAGUUUGAGGCUAAGGUUUCGGAGGAGAGAAAGAAAAGAUUGUACGAGAGGAAGGAGAAGCGAAGAGAGGACCGAAGGCAAAAGUGGAUCCAGGAACGGGCCGAGGAAGAGCAGAGGAGAAAGGACGAGCAGCUCAAGAGAGAACGGGAGGAGAAGGAGAGGGAAGAAAGUGAGAAGUUGGAAGCUGAGAAACGCGAGUACGAGUCCAGACUAGCCAAGCUAGAGGAGCAGGCUGAGAAACAGCGACAGAGGGAGAGAGAGAUUGAAGAGAAGGAAGCCAAGCGAAGACAGGAGAUGGAAAAAACAAGCGGUAGAGAUGAUGGCAAAGAGGACCGCCCUAAACCAUUUGCUGGUCGACCAGGAGAGCGUCCAAGUUGGCGAGAUAGAGAGCGGGAGAAGGAGGAGGAGGGAGGUCGUGAUGGGCAAGCCUGGAGACCAGCAGGGGCCAGAGAAGGGGGCGGCUGGAGGGAGAGGGAGAAACAGCGAUCGGAGAGCUGGAAAAAAGAGACUAGCCCCACCAAGCGGUAUGAGGAGGAAGAAGAACCAAAAGGAGAAGGCUGGAGGGGAGAGAGGGGUGCUCCUAGGGAAGACAGGCCCCCAGCUCGAGGUAUCUCUCCCCCUAGGGACACGUGGAGAAGCAGAGGGGAGGAUCGAGUACCAUCAAGGGAUGGUGGUGAUCGUGGAGGAUUUGGAGAACGCAGAAGAGAUGAUAGAGAUUUUGGAAGAGGGAGAGAUGACAGAGAUAGAGAUUUUGGUAGAAGGGAUGAUAGAGAUUUUGGUAGACGAGACGAUAGGGACUUUGGAAGAAGAGAUGAUAGAGAUUUUGGAAGACGAGAUGAUAGAGAUUUUGGAAGACGAGAUGAUAAAGACAGAGAUUUUGGAAGAAGAGAUGAUCGUGACUUUGGAGAUCGUCGUCCUCCUCGUGAAGACAGAGACUUUGGAGACAGAAGAGCUCCACCUAGAGAGGACCGUUGGAGAUCGGAUCGUGAUCGGGAGGGUUUCUCUGAUCGAGCUCCUCCCAGAGAAGAAAGAGACUGGGGUAGAGGUGGUGGACGGGAAGACAGAUGGGGAGGAGGUGGUGGUGGUGGUGGUGAAGAACGCCGUGGGGGCGAUGCAUGGAGAGACCGCCGUAAGGAGGAGGGAGGAGAUGAAAGAGGUGGAGGAGGGGCCUGGAGAGGAGGUAGAACUGGAGGAGACAGCUGGAGAGAGAGGACUGGAGAGAAAGAGGGAUGGAGCCGGCGAGAUGACAGAGGACCAGCAAGAGAGGACAGAGGACCCACAAGAGAGGACAGAGGGCCAGGGAGAGAGGACUUCAGACGUAGUGAGGGGCCCCCACCGAGUCGCGAAGGAGGAAGAAGUUGGAGAGACAAACAGCCAGAAAAAGGAGCUGUCAGAAAACCUGAGGGAGAGGAAGAUGAUGGAUGGACCACAGUGCGUUAUUGAUCAGACUGAUAAACCGAGACAUCUUUUUGGAGGAGGAUGAAACUGUUUGUGAUAAUGAACUGGUAGAAUUCAUCAACAUUGAAUAGGAUUGCAAAACCACCUCGCAAUGGGCGAUUUACAAAUUGAAUUGCUUAAACUGAUAUUGCAUACUCCAUUGCAAAUUAUGAGUAUCUAUUUUCUUUGUAUUUAUGUUUAAUGCAACUGCUAAAAGUGAUGUAAAUUCUGCAUUAUUUUUGAUUGGAUAUAAUAUUAUAAGAAUUUACUGUUCAAUUCUAAUUAGAAAGUCGAUUGCUUAUUUAUGAAUGUAACUGUGUCAUGUCAAUGCAAAUAAACAUGAUUGAAAG